CCUACGGGAGGCAGCAGUGAGGAAUCUUGGUCAAUGGACGAGAGUCUGAACCAGCCAAGUAGCGUGAAGGAUGACUGCCCUUUGGGUUGUAAACUUCUUUUAUAUGGGAAUAAAAUGUUCCACGUGUGGGAUUUUGUAUGUACCUUAUGAAUUAGGAUCGGCUAACUCCGUGCCAGCAGCCGCGGUAAUACGGAGGAUCCGAGCGUUAUCCGGAUUUAUUGGGUGUAAAGGGAGCGUAGGUGGGUGGUUAAGUCAGUUGUGAAAGUUUGCGGCUCAACCGUAAAAUUGCAGUUGAAACUGGCAGUCUUGAGUACAGUAGAGGAGAGUGGAAUUCGUGGUGUAGCGGUGAAAUGCUUAGAUAUCACGAAGAACUCCGAUUGCGAAGGCGGCUCACUGGACUGCAACUGACGCUGAGGCGCGAAAGUGUGGGUAUCGAACAGGAUUAGAUACCCGAGUAGUA
rnacentral:rRNA from 1 species